rnacentral:pre_miRNA from 1 species
AAAAAGACAAACUCUGGUUUCCGUGCCCAACGUUUAACCGUCCGUCUUAUUUAAAAAAAUUUUAAAAAAAUUAAAAAGACAAGUCAUGCAUAAAAUAUUAAUCAUGUUUUAUCAUCUAAUAACAAUAAAAAUAUUAUUUAAAAAAUUCAAAUAAGACGGAUGAUCAAAGUUGAACACGAAAACUUAUGGUUACACUUAAA